CUUCUGUAAGCUACGGAGACCGUGCAACCCUACGGGGAGGCAGCCCGACUAUAAAGAAAGCUGACGCUUGCAAGUUAGCAUGGCUAGCAACACAAUCGAAUUGCGGGGAUCUCCUAAAGCCCUAGGCACCAUUCUACCGUUGAAAGACGGUAGCGACCGGUAAAAGCCCUAGGGAUGAACAAUGGACAAUCCGCAGCGAAGACCCUAAAGGUAAAUCCCAUGGGUAGCGUUCACAGACUAGGUGAUUGUGGGCAGUGUACUGUCUAAGAUAUAGUCGAGUUACAGCGUGAAAGCCCUGUAUAAAUAGUCCGUAGGUGAACCUGCGGAAGGAUCAUUACUGAGUUCAUGCCCUAACGGGUAGAUCUCCACCCUUGAAUAUAAACUCUUGUUGCUUUGGCGGGCCGCUUAGGCUACUGGCUUCGGCUGGUGAGUGCCCGCCAGAGAACCCUAAACUUUGAAUUACAGUAUUGUCUGAGUACUAUAUAAUAGUUAAAACUUUCAACAACGGAUCUCUUGGUUCUGGCAUCGAUGAAGAACGCAGCGAAAUGCGAUAAGUAAUGUGAAUUGCAGAAUUCAGUGAAUCAUCGAAUCUUUGAACGCACAUUGCGCCCCUUGGUAUUCCGGGGGGCAUGCCUGUUCGAGCGUCAUUAUAACCCUCAAGCCUAGCUUGGUGUUGGAGCAUGCUACCUAGCAGCUCUUAAAAUCAGUGGCAGUGCCCUUCGGCUCUAAGCGUAGUAACUUCUCUCGCUAUGGAAACCGGGUGGCAUGCGCCAAAACCCCCAACUUUCUAAGGUUGACCUCGGAUCAGGUAGGGAUACCCGCUGAACUUAAGCAUAUCAAUAA
rnacentral:rRNA from 1 species